AGUCGGUUAGCUCAGUUGGUAGAGCACUCGUCCUGUAAGCGAGGGGUCCCGGGUUCGAGCCCUGGACUGACUG
rnacentral:tRNA from 1 species